rnacentral:rRNA from 1 species
GACAGAGGUGCCGAGCGUUAUUCGGAAUCACUGGGCUUAAAGCGUGUGUAGGCGGGCCCGUAAGUGCCUUGUGAAAUCCCCCGGCUCAACCGGGGAACGGCUGGGCAUACUGCGGGUCUGAGCGGCCUAGGGGCAGUCGGAACAAGUGGUGGAGCGGUGAAAUGCGUAGAUAUCACUUGGAACGCCAAUGGUGAAAACAGACUGCUGGGGGCCUGCUGACGCUGAGACACGAAAGCCAGGGGAGCGAACGGG